UUUAUGGAGAGUUUGAUCCUGGCUCAGGAUGAACGCUGGCGGCGUGCCUAAUACAUGCAAGUCGAGCGAACAGACGAGGAGCUUGCUCCUCUGACGUUAGCGGCGGACGGGUGAGUAACACGUGGAUAACCUACCUAUAAGACUGGGAUAACUUCGGGAAACCGGAGCUAAUAC
rnacentral:rRNA from 1 species